AGUCGGCGCCCUGGCGGGCCGUGUUUUUAUUCGUCUGAUGUGCGUCUCCUCAACAAUGAAAGUAGUGAGCCACGUUUCGAUUUUUUCCACUUUCAUCUUUCGGCCGCACCGAGUACUUAUUCCAUGCAGGUGGCCUACUCGCACCAUAUGAGUGUGAACACGUCGUCUGUCCACCUUUAUUGACGACGGAGACGCAUAGGCUACCUUCUUUGGCCAGCCAGGGAAUGCCAAUACAUGCUUGAAUCCAGCACCGAUGCGGAAACCGUACGAAAUGUGCAGAAAUCCUACGUGCAUGGAAGUGGCACGCAGUCUUCUAUGAGCAAGUCAAGUGACAAUCUUGCAUAUGAAGGUGACCGGAAGCUCCUACGCUGCGCUCUUCCAGAUACGGAAACACGUUCCAGUGCAUCCGGCCUGUGCAGGAUAAUACUUCUAAGAAAUACAUGCUCAC